AUUGAACGCUGGCGGCAGGCCUAACACAUGCAAGUCGAGCGGUAGAGAGGUGCUUGCAUCUCUUGAGAGCGGCGGACGGGUGAGUAAUGCCUAGGAAUCUGCCUAGUGGUGGGGGAUAACGUUCGGAAACGGACGCUAAUACCGCAUACGUCCUACGGGAGAAAGCGGGGGAUCUUCGGACCUCGCGCCAUUAGAUGAGCCUAGGUCGGAUUAGCUAGUUGGUGAGGUAAUGGCUCACCAAGGCGACGAUCCGUAACUGGUCUGAGAGGAUGAUCAGUCACACUGGAACUGAGACACGGUCCAGACUCCUACGGGAGGCAGCAGUGGGGAAUAUUGGACAAUGGGCGAAGACCUGAUCCAGCCAUGCCGCGUGUGUGAUGAAGGCCUC
rnacentral:rRNA from 1 species